UAAAAAGCUCGUAGUUGGAUCUCAACAGCCUUGAAGCGGUUAACUUUGUAGUUUUACUGCUUUAUAGGCUGUGCUUUUGCUGGAGGUUUAGGGGUGCUCUUGAUCGAGUGUCUCUGGAUGCCAGCAGGUUUACUUUGAAAAAAUUAGAGUGCUCAAAGCAGGCUAAAAUGCCUGAAUAUUCGUGCAUGGAAUAAUAGAAUAGGAUGUCGAUCCUAUUUUGUUGGUUUUCGGGACUCGACAUAAUGAUAAAUAGGGACAGUCGGGGGCAUUUGUAUUCAAACGACAGAGGUGAAAUUCUUGGACCGUUUGAAGACAAACUACUGCGAAAGCAUUUGCCAAGAAUGUUUUCAUUAAUCAAGAACGAAAGUUAGAGGUUCGAAGGCGAUUAGAUACCGCCCUAGUUCUAACCAUAAACGACGCCAGCUAGCGAUCUGCCUGCGUUUUUACUGUAGACUGGGCAGGAAGCUUCCGGGAAACCAAAGCAUUUGGGUUCCAGGGGAAGUAUGGUUGCAAAGCUGAAACUUAAAGGAAUUGACGGAAGGGCACCACCAGGAGUGGAGCCUGUGGCUUA
rnacentral:rRNA from 1 species